rnacentral:rRNA from 1 species
AGUGGACGCUGGCGGUAGGCCUAACACAUGCAAGUCGAACGGCAGCACAGCGGAGCUUGCUCCUUGGGUGGCGAGUGGCGGACGGGUGAGGAAUACAUCGGAAUCUACUCUUUCGUGGGGGAAAACGUAGGGAAACUUACGCUAAUACCGCCUACGACCUACGGGUCAAAGAAGGGGAUCUUGGGACUUUGCGCGAUUGAAUUAGCGGAUGUGGGAUUAGCUAGUGCGCGGGGUAAAGGCCCCCCAAGGCGACGAUCCGUAGCUGGUCGGGAAGGAUGAUCAGCCACACUGGAACUGAGACACGGUCCAGACUCCUACGGGAGGCGGCAGUGGGGAAUAUUGGACAAUGGGCGCAAGCCUGAUCCAGCCAUACCGCGUGGGUGAAGAAAGCCUUCGGGUUGUAAAGCCCUUUUGUUGGGAAAGAAAUCCAUCUGGUUAAUACCCGGGUGGGAUGACUGCACCCAAAGAAUAAGCACCGGCUAACUUCGUGCCAGCCGCCGCAGUAA